UGGGAGAGGUGAAUACCACAUUGUAAUGAG
rnacentral:piRNA from 1 species